UCUCCCUGUUGAGAUGUAUCUUGAGGGCUGGAUUGGUAUCUAUGUCUGGCUUCCUGAUGCUCUGCCAAUACCUCUCUUGCAAGAGCGUGGGGUGGAAAUUCAGCUCACCAUUUAGUCCUACUGAUCGCUUCCUGAAGAAGCUGGAGUGUUGUGACUUGCUCUAGAGGAUAUACUUCCAAGAUAGCUCACUCACAUAACAAGUCGGUGCUGACUGUUUGCUGGGAACUCAACUGAACCUGUCAGCCAGGGGUCUUGAUUAUUCUCCACAUGAGCCUCUCCACAUGGUUGCUUGGGCUUCGUCACAACAUGGUGGCUGGAUUUCAAGAGUCCCUCCACAUUGCACUUUGAAAAAGCAGUUCUCUCAAGAGAUAUAAUGAAGGAUAUUGGAAUGGCAUGCCCUGGGAAGCUGCUCUUGGCCCGGUCUUCGGAAGCACUCAUGUGCAGAGUUAUUCCUUUAGGAAAGUUACAUAUCAGCAGAGGUCAUCAGCCAGAUAAAAUCCAAGGCAUAACCAGGCACUUGAAGCAGAGAGCAGAGAAAUGGUGAAGGUCAAGUGACUAUUUACUGAUGAUGUUGGAAACGUCUUUGACAGUUGCUGCUUCUCAAGCUGAAGGCAGGAGUCAUGUUGAUACAAAACACUAUUACAACUCUUCUUGAAAAGAAGAAAAAGAUUUUCACAAAUGCUUCCCUUCUCGUUUAUUGUCACUACCGUUUUUCCCCAGACUACUCUCAUUCUCGGCCCACGUAGGAAAUCAGAAGAUAAUUUAAAAUUAAAUGAUGAUGGCUCAGAGCUUCAAGCACUUAAAAAGAGAGAGGAAAGAAACGCAUCACAUCUUGACAGGGCUGCGAGUGAGGGCUGGAAGACUGCCAAGGAAGCCCAGAAGCGCCAUUGGCAAGAGGGGCUUUGGUACUUUGUGUGACCAGAGGGGACCUGUGCGACAUUCUCCCUCAUGCCCUGGGAUGGGCAUUUGAAGUCAUGAAAACCUAGGGAAGAGUUGAGAAAGAAUGGAAAGCAGGUGUACACAGAGCAUUAGUGAGUUGGGAAAAUCAGGUUGAACGCUUGAUUUACUAGUUACCGUCUUGUAAUAUAAACUUUCUAGGCAUUUCUUCCUGUACCUAAAAUAGCCUCACAGAAUAUGAAGAAAUAAAAUAAAAUUAUAUGUAU